rnacentral:rRNA from 1 species
UACUCAGUUCGGAUUGCAGGCUGCAACUCGCCUGUAUGAAGUCGGAAUUGCUAGUAAUCGCGGAUCAGCAUGCCGCGGUGAAUACGUUCCCGGGCCUUGUACACACCGCCCGUCACACCAUGAGAGCCGGGAACACCCGAAGUCCGUAGUCUAACCGCAAGGAGGACGCGGCCGAAGGUGGGUUUGGUAAUUGGGGUGAAGUCGUAACAAGGUAUC